rnacentral:lncRNA from 1 species
UGGGAUAUGUUUUUGAUGGGAAAAGUUUGUCAUAUAAUUAGCCGUGAGUAAGAAACCACGUGGUAAUGAACUCAUUUCUCUUUUUAAGAAAUUGAGAAGAAAUGGUGCUUGUAUACCAUAUAGGGAAAAGACAGAUAUUAGGCUGAGGAGAAUAUUCUUGAUGGUUAAAAUGAUUCAGAUUUGACAUAGACACGAUUCCAUGUGUGUUUAUACCGUAUUUAUUUGUGUAUCUUCCCAUCUGUACCUAUCCCCUCAUUUCAACACUCUUAACUUUGAGGAGUAGAUACAAGACUCCACCACCAUAGCCCCACAUUAUUCCCCCCAGUGGCUUAUAGUGUCAGCAGCAGACUCAUAGCCAACUUGAAAUGCUUUGUCUGUGUUUCGAGACCAGAUUUGAAUGUGCAAAGCAAUUAGUAUGUACCUAAAUGAAAACCUGGAAAAAAAUUUACUUUUCUCUUUAAAUUUGUAUUGACUCCUGUACUUGUGGGGUGACAUAAAAAGCAUGGGCUGUCAUUGCCCUCUGACAUUCCAGGUGGCUCUUCCACAGGUUGCUUCCUGCAUUUUUAGUACCUACAGCAGGAAGUAAUACAUCUAUUUUUUAAUUUAAAACUUCAGAAAUUAUUUUUUCAAAACAAUUUAUUUUCCUAUGUAAUUCUGAAACUCCCCCCCUCUUUCCCCAAUCAAAGGACGGCUUGGAUUUAGGAAAUUCACUUUGGAACUUCAGAUGACACACCGAUUUGUAUGUGUACUACACAGGGAAAUUUCUUUGAAAUUCAGUAGCUACUAAAAAGUACUGAUAUCCCCUUUGUGGGUGAAACCUCGUUGUAGCCAUUUGUGUGUGUAGGCGAAGGAGGGGGAUUAUUAUACGCAUGUAAACACAAUUAAUAACUGCUAUUUAUAAUGAACAUUCCGCAAAACUGGAAAGUUAUGAGGGGAGAGGGUUACUUUUUUUCUUAUGACUUCCAAGUGUUUAUAUUAGUUGGGUCAUAAUGGAAAUUACAUGGAGAC